CAAUUCUACACGGAAAGGCACCAUUCUCCAUGAUGCUCAUGGCUCCCAGUGCUCAGCCCUGUGUUUUCUAGGCAUACCUCGUUGGACUCCAUGGUUUCUGUUACUUGUGGGUUUCUUCCUGCAUUGCUUGAACUUGACUCAGUGCAUUUGCUGAGCAGGCCACCAACUGUUGGCAUGUGCAUACCAUCUAGUACCCAAAAUACUUCGAGAAAUGCUUCUUCUCUCCAGUUUGAAUCAUGUGAGUUGAGUAAGACCACAGAAGAAUCCGUUCCUGAAAUGUAGGACUUGGGAGAGAGAGCAUGAUGCCGGUCCUUUCUGGAGGCAGACAAUUCAAGCUUGCAAGAGUUUGAGCAUUACUUCCUAACCACAGAAGACCUCCAGACUGGGAGGGAAUAAAUCUGCA
rnacentral:lncRNA from 1 species